UUGAACGCUGGCGGCAUGCUUUACACAUGCAAGUCGAACGGCAGCGGGGGCUUCGGCCUGCCGGCGAGUGGCGAACGGGUGAGUAAUGCGUCGGAACGUGCCGAGUAAUGGGGGAUAACGCAGCGAAAGCUGUGCUAAUACCGCAUACGCCCUGAGGGGGAAAGUGGGGGAUCGCAAGACCUCACGUUAUUCGAGCGGCCGACGUCUGAUUAGCUAGUUGGUGGGGUAAAGGCUCACCAAGGCGACGAUCAGUAGCGGGUCUGAGAGGAUGAUCCGUCACACUGGAACUGAGACACGGUCCAGACUCCUACGGGAGGCAGCAGUGGGGAAUUUUGGACAAUGGGGGCAACCCUGAUCCAGCCAUUCCGCGUGAGUGAAGAAGGCCUUCGGGUUGUAAAGCUCUUUCGGACGGAAAGAAACGGUCACGGCCAAUACCCGUGGCUAAUGACGGUACCGUCAGAAGAAGCACCGGCUAACUACGU
rnacentral:rRNA from 1 species